rnacentral:rRNA from 1 species
GAUGAACGCUGGCGGCGUGCCUAAUACAUGCAAGUCGAGCGAACGGACGAUAAUCUUGCUUCUCUGAUGUUAGCGGCUGACGUGUGAGUAACACGUUUAUAACCUACCUAUAAUACUGGUAUAACUUCGGGAAACCUUAUCUAAUACCGGCUGAUAUUUUGAACCUCAUUGUUCAAUAGUUUAAUACUUUCUUUCUUUCACUUAUAGAUUGUUCCGCGCUGCAUUAGCUAGUUGGUAAGGUAACGGCUUACCAAGGCAACGAUGGAUAGCCGACCUGAGAGGGUGAUCGGACACACUGGAAGUGAGACACGGAACAGAGAACUAAGGGAGGCAGCAGAAGGGAAUGUGACGCAAAGGGCGAAAGCAUGACGGAGCAAAGGCGAGGGAGAGAAGAAGGAGUUAGGAUCGUAAAAAUGUGUUAUGAGGGAAGAAAAAAAGUGUAAGAAAAAGUGAACAGAAUGACGGUAACAAAAAAGAAAGCAACGGCUAACUACGUG